UACAGAGGGUGCAAGCGUUAAUCGGAUUUACUGGGCGUAAAGGGCGCGUAGGUGGUUGUUUAAGUGAGAUGUGAAAGCCCCGGGCUCAACCUGGGAACUGCAUCUUAUACUGGGCAACUGGAGUACAUGAGAGGGUAGUGGAAUUUCCGGUGUAGCGGUGAAAUGCGUAGAUAUCGGAAGGAACACCAGUGGCGAAGGCGGCUACGUGGCAUGAUACUGACACUGAGGCGCGAGAGCGUGGGGAGCAAACAGG
rnacentral:rRNA from 1 species